UCCAGCCGUACAACGCCACUAUAACCCAAUGCGCCUAGACCAUGACAUGCUACAAAAACCGGACCAAAGGCAGACAGAAGGCAGUACAGACGGACACACAUAAGCCCUCGGGCUGCCUCAGAAAGUGUGACUGUGCAUUGACCUACAUACCAGAAGGAGCCAAGUGGAGCUGUUCAUGUGCCAUGCACGAAGUUUCAUAAGCGGGCUUUCAGCGCUUUUGAAAAUUAUGUUUCUGAAUACAUCUGUCAAAGUUGUGUUCAAAA